UCAGCUGUUCUUGGGAUCCCAAAUACCAGGCAAACAAAACUUCGAAGUAGGUGAAUGCGCAGCAGCGGCUGUUAGGUACAGGGACGGACGAAGGGGGGUCGUCCAGAGUGACCGUUCUGCAUCCGACCCUGCUUAUGCACGAAAAUAACUCUCUACCGUCAGUGAUUAUCCUCGCUAACGAUGCCCGCUAUCAGCGAACGAGUCGGGUAAACACCAUUUACACUGGGAUUGUCUCGUUAAAGUCAACGGAUGGGCUCUGUGGACUCGACAAAUAUGUGUGCAGACAGCAGUUGACAGUUCGCAAAAAGAGCGAAAAGAUGAUUAUAUUCGGAACAGGCAUCGAGCAAACAGAACCGAUUCGAGCAAAAGUUUCAAUACAGAAUUUGAAUGCCAGUUUACAAAUGCUCUGCAGGAGUUUAUCAAGGUUAAAUUCAAUUCUGGGAAAUAAGUAUUGAGUUAUUGCAUAUUUCGCAAAUCGUCUUUACUGCGCCCCUGAUAAAUACAAAAAAUAACAUUGCAGCCAUGCAAAAUCCUCUUUCAUAAAAUUUAUUCAAUAGUCAGUGGUUAAUCCCACCAGCGAUGACUGCAAAUAUUUCCAAUGAUUCGGAAUUCCGUUUUCAAUUAUCAUCUUUGACAUGCGUUACUUAUAUCUUUACUAUAGCUUUUUUACACAUCAUGCCAACUAUGUAAUUUCAAUUAGUGACAAUGACCUACGCGAAAUAAUUUUUUAUGCUCCAAUUAGGUUCACUUAAUCAUUGGGACUCUUGAAUAAAUAUAUUUUGCAAUAUA